AACGAACGCUGGCGGCAUGCCUAACACAUGCAAGUCGAACGAGACCUUCGGGUCUAGUGGCGCACGGGUGCGUAACGCGUGGGAAUCUGCCCUUUGCUUCGGAAUAACAGUUAGAAAUGACUGCUAAUACCGGAUGAUGUCUUCGGACCAAAGAUUUAUCGGCAAAGGAUGAGCCCGCGUAGGAUUAGGUAGUUGGUGGGUAAAGGCCUACCAAGCCGACGAUCCUUAGCUGGUCUGAGAGGAUGAUCAGCCACACUGGGACUGAGACACGGCCCAGACUCCUACGGGAGGCAGCAGUGGGGAAUAUUGGACAAUGGGCGCAAGCCUGAUCCAGCAA
rnacentral:rRNA from 1 species